rnacentral:rRNA from 1 species
UAGUCAUAUGCUUGUCUUAAGGACUAAGCCAUGCAUGUCUAAGUAUAAGCCCUAGCAAGGCUAGACUGCGAAUGGCUCAUUAAAUCAGUUAUAGUCUAUUUGAUUAUAAAACUACUUGGAUAACUGUAGUAAUUCUAGAGCUAAUACAUGCAAAAGACCCCGACUUCACGGAAGGGGUGUAUUUAUUAGGACUUAAACCAAUCUGGGCAACCAGUACUUGGUGAUUCAUAAUAACUUCUCGGAUCGCACAGCCUUGUGCUGGCGACGUUUCAUUCGAGUAUCUGAUCUAUCAACUUGAUGGUAGUGUAUUGGACUACCAUGGUUAUAACGGAUAACGGAGAAUUAGGGUUUGGCUCCGGAGAGGUCGCCUGAGAGACGGCGACCACUUCCAAGGAAGGCAGCAGGCGCGCAAAUUACCCAAUCCCGACACGGGGAGGUAGCGACAAGAAAUAACAAUACAGGUCCCGAUAAGGGACUUGUAAUUGGAAUGAAAGAAACGUAAAUACCUCAUUGAGGAACAAUU